GGGGAUAACUACUGGAAACGGUGAGCUAAUGCCGCAUAACGUCGCAAGACGAAAGAGGGGGACCUUAGGGCCUCUUGCCAUCGGAUGUGCCCAGAUGGGAUUAGCUAGUAGGUGGGGUAACGGCUCACCUAGGCGACGAUCCCUAGCUGGUCUGAGAGGAUGACCAGCCACACUGGAACUGAGACACGGUCCAGACUCCUACGGGAGGCAGCAGUGGGGAAUAUUGCACAAUGGGCGCAAGCCUGAUGCAGCCAUGCCGCGUGUAUGAAGAAGGCCUUCGGGUUGUAAAGUACUUUCAGCGGGGAGGAAGGGAGUAAAGUUAAUACCUUUGCUCAUUGACGUUACCCGCAGAAGAAGCACCGGCUAACUCCGUGCCAGCAGCCGCGGUAAUACGGAGGGUGCAAGCGUUAAUCGGAAUUACUGGGCGUAAAGCGCACGCAGGCGGUUUGUUAAGUCAGAUGUGAAAUCCCCGGGCUCAACCUGGGAACUGCAUCUGAUACUGGCAAGCUUGAGUCUCGUAGAGGGGGGUAGAAUUCCAGGUGUAGCGGUGAAAUGCGUAGAGAUCUGGAGGAAUACCGGUGGCGAAGGCGGCCCCCUGGACGAAGACUGACGCUCAGGUGCGAAAGCGUGGGGAGCAAACAGGAUUAGA
rnacentral:rRNA from 1 species